GAUUGAUCAUGGGCUCAGAUUGAACGCUGGCGGCAUGCCUUACACCAUGCAAGUCGAACGGCAGCACGGGUGCUUGCACCUGGUGGCGAGUGGCGAACGGGUGAGUAAUACAUCGGAACAUGUCCUGUAGUGGGGGAUAGCCCGGCGAAAGCCGGAUUAAUACCGCAUACGAUCUACGGAUGAAAGCGGGGGACCUUCGUGCCUCGCGCUAUAGGGUUGGCCGAUGGCUGAUUAGCUAGUUGGUGGGGUAAAGUCCUCCCAAGGCGACGAUCAGUAGCUUGUCUGAGAGGACGACCAGCCACACUGGGACUGAGACACGGCCCAGACUCCUUCGGGAGGCAGCAGUGGGGAAUUUUGGACAAUGGGCGAAAGCCUGAUCCAGCAAUGCCGCGUGUGUGAAGAAGGCCUUCGGGUUGUAAAGCACUUUUGUCCGGAAAGAAAUCCUUGGCUCUAAUACAGUCGGGGGAUGACGGUACCGGAAGAAUAAGCACCGGCUAACUACGUGCCAGCAGCCGCGGUAAUACGUAGGGUGCAAGCGUUAAUCGGAAUUACUGGGCGUAAAGCGUGCGCAGGCGGUUUGCUAAGACCGAUGUGAAAUCCCCGGGCUCAACCUGGGAACUGCAUUGGUGACUGGCAGGCUAGAGUAUGGCAGAGGGGGGUAGAAUUCCACGUGUAGCAGUGAAAUGCGUAGAGAUGUGGAGGAAUACCGAUGGCGAAGGCAGCCCCCUGGGCCAAUACUGACGCUCAUGCACGAAAGCGUGGGGAGCAAACAGGAUUAGAUACCCUGGUAGUCCACGCCCUAAACGAUGUCAACUAGUUGUUGGGGAUUCAUUUCCUUAGUAACGUAGCUAACGCGUGAAGUGACCGC
rnacentral:rRNA from 1 species